rnacentral:rRNA from 1 species
UGUGAACUGCAGGACACAUGAACAUCGACAUUUCGAACGCACAUUGCGGCCCUAGGACUUGUUCCUGGGCCACACCUGACUGAGGGUCGGUUGACCAAACUCAACGACCAGACUGUCCGGCUUUACAACCCGGAAGAGAUGGGAGUCUCCGUGUCUCGGCGUGGUACUCUUAAAUAAAGUGAGUGUGGGCUCGGCGUUCGCGUCGUCCCACCGAUAUCGCUGCACGGAAGGCAAUCGAGUGGGUUUUCACACGGUCUCACAACCGAGUAGGCUCGUCUCGUUCGCUUGGAUCUGAUGGCAACAUUGGUCCCGUGCGCUCGUUUUCGAUUUCGAUAAACGCGGCGCCGCGGACUAGUUUGCUUGAGCACAGUGGUCCCCUCGGGACAAAGAUCCAGGCGGGCGGCGCGUGCACGAGUCUCGAGGCUAUUGUGAAAUACUCUUUAUUCUGUGCAGUGAGCGAGCGCUUCUGUCUUCCAGGGCGAUUCUGCUAUCACGACCUGCAGUCAGGUGAGACUACCGCUGAAAUUUAAGCAUAUUACUAAGGGGAGGAAAAGAAACUAAC